AGCCCACACUGCCCAGAUGCUUAUUCUGCAUGAAUCCUGGCUCAGUUCCCCAGGUGCUCAUUCCAUGAGCAGUUUUGCUCCCAAGUCCUUAUGAAGAAACCAGCUCAGCUACGAAUUAUAAAGUCUUGACAUGUGUUAGUUCUACCAUUUAAAAGGAUUCCAAAUGUACCCAUUCUCCAACUUCCUUGGUUAAAAUUCCGACCAACAUCACAUGAGCUUCAUGAUUCUGGGAACACUGGCCAGCCUGAAUGAAGCUCUCUUCCUCUUACAAGAAUUAGCUUGCAAUUGUCCAUUGCAGCCUUCUACUCUCAGCGAAUAUUUACAUGCGGGCAGCGGAAGAGCCUUGCUGGCCUCGGUGAGCAGUUGCCAGACGGGACGUGCACGGAGUCACGCAUGGAGGCUCAGAGCUCAGUGUUGAAGAAGGCAGCGGGAGCUCCUAGAGCAC
rnacentral:lncRNA from 1 species